UACGGAGGGUGCGAGCGUUGUCCGGAAUCAUUGGGCGUAAAGGGCGCGUAGGUGGCCCGGUCAGUUCGUGGUGAAAGCGCGGGGCUCAACCCUGCGUCGGCCAUGAAUACUGCCGCGGCUGGAGCACUGUAGAGGCAGGCGGAAUUCCGGGUGUAGCGGUGGAAUGCGUAGAGAUCCGGAAGAACACCGGUGGCGAAGGCGGCCUGCUGGGCCAGUUGCUGGACACUGAGCGCGACAGCGUGGGGAGCAACAGGG
rnacentral:rRNA from 1 species